ensembl:lncRNA AFG3L1P AFG3 like matrix AAA peptidase subunit 1, pseudogene
AUGCGCGCGCCCGGGCGGCGCGGGAUCUGGGUCUGGGGAUGUGGUACCGGCUGCUGGCGGCGGCCGGCAGUAGAGCGGUGGCCAGGCCGCUGGCCUUGCUGUGGCGAUGUGGUGGCCCAGGAGGCGGCAGGACGGCCAAGACCAGCGCGAGGGCCCUGGGCAAGGCCCGACAGAAGAAGCUAGGAAAGCUCAUCUGGCCUCCUGUUCCAGUGCUUCCAGGGGAUCCACGUUCAGAAGCUGACUCUGCAGGCAAGACCGACGUUAUUUUCCUGGUGGCUGUGUUCAAAACCACCCAAAGGGUUUGAGAAAUACUUUAAGAGGAGUGGAAGGAACACAAACUGAGAAACAUCAACAGCACCAAAAAAAGAGACUGGUGAACUAGAGAAUGCUGAGUCUGGAGGAGACGGAGGCAGGAGAGGAGGGAAGCAGGAUAACGUUGCCUGGUGGAGGCGGAUGCAGAAGGGGGGACUUCCCCUGGGAUGACGAGGAUUUCCGCAGUCUGGCCCUUUUGGGGGCAGGCGUUGCCAUGGGAUUUUUCUACCUCUAUUUUCGAGAUCCUGGAAGAGAAAUCACGUGGAAGCACUUUGUACAGUAUUACCUGGCCAGAGGUCUGGUGGACCGGCUGGAAGUCGUGAACAAACAAUCUGUGCGUGUUAUUCCUGCCCCUGGGACCUCUUCUGAAGUGAGGGGUGAAUUUAAGGGAGCCAUGCUCACUGGUCCUCCUGGUACCGGCAAGACCCUUCUUGCCAAAGCAACUGCAGGGGAGGCCACUGUGCCCUUCAUCACUGUGAACGGGUCUGAGUUCCUGGAAAUGUUUAUUGGCGUUGGGCCAGCAAGGGGUUCAACUCUGCCACCAACGUCGUGGUGUUGGCUGGCACCAACCGCCCUGACGUCCUGGACCCGGCCCUCAUGCGGCCUGGCCGGUUUCAUCGCCAGAUUUACACUGGUCCCCCUUACAUUAAAGGCAGGUCCUCCAUCUUUAAGGUCCACCUGCGCCCACUGAAGCUGGACAAGAGCCUCAAUAAGGACACCCUGGCGAGGAAGCUGGCAGUGCUCACCCCAGGCUUCCCUGAUGUCUGUUUACAUACCAAAGUUAAAAAGCUGGAAUGUUACCAAGACUGCUUUCUUCUGCCCAUAGACGGGGAUGACUCAGCACUACCCCUCAACAGAGAUGACUUUGAUGACUCUGCCCCUCAGCAGGGCUUACUAAGCACUACCCCUUAACAGGGAUGACUCCGCACUGCCCCUCAACAGGGAUGACUCAGCAGAGAUGACUCAGCACUGUCCCUUAGCAGGGAUGACACAGCAAGGAUGACUCAGCACUGCCCCUCAGCAAGGAUGACUCAGCACUGCCGCUCAACAGACAUGACUCAGGGAUGGCUUAGUACUGCCCCUCAGCAGGGAUGACUCAGCACCGCCUCUCAACAGGGAUGACUCAGCAGGGAUGACUCAGCACCGCCCCUCAACAGGCAUGACUCUGCAGAGAUGACUCAGCACUGUCCCUUAGCAGGGAUGACACAGCAAGGAUGACUCAGCACUGCCCCUCAGCAAGGAUGACUCAGCACUGCCGCUCAACAGGGAUGACUCAGGGAUGGCUUAGUACUGCCCCUCAACAGGGAUGACUCAGCAGGGAUGACUCAGCACCGCCCCUCAACAGGCAUGACUCUGCAGAGAUGACUUAGUACUGCCCCUCAGCAGGGAUGACUCAGUACUGCCCCUCAGCAGGGAUGACUCAGCACUGCCCCUCAACAGGGAUGACUCAGCAGGGAUGACUCAGCACUGUCCCUUAGCAGUGAUGACACAGCAAGGAUGACUCAGCACUGCCCCUCAGCAAGGAUGACUCAGCACUGCCGCUCAACAGACAUGACUCAGGGAUGGCUUAGUACUGCCCCUCAGCAGGGAUGACUCAGCACCGCCCCUCAACAGGGAUGACUCAGCACUGCCCCUCAACAGGGAUGACUCAGCAGGGAUGACUCAGCAGUGUCCCUUAGCAGCGAUGACACAGCAAGGAUGACUCAGCACUGCCCCUCACCAAGGAUGACUCAGCACUGCCGCUCAACAGACAUGACUCAGGGAUGGCUUAGUACUGCCCCUCAGCAGGGAUGACUCAGCAGGGAUGACUCAGCACCACCCCUCAACAGGGAUGACUCAGCAGGGAUGACUCAGCACUGCCCCUCAACAGGGAUGACUGCAGGGAUGACUCAGCACUGCCCCUCAGCAGGGAUGACUCAGCACUGCCCCUCAGCAGGGAUGACUCAGCAGGGAUGACUCAGCACCGCCCCUCAACAGGCAUGACUCUGCAGAGAUGACUCAGCACUGCCCCUCAGCAGGGAUGGCUCAGCAGGGAUGACUCAGCAUUGCCCCUCAACAGGGAUGACUCAGCAGACUCAGCAGGGAUGACUCAGCACUGCCCCUCAACAGACAUGACUCAGCAGGGAUGACUCAGCACCGCCCCUCAGCAAGGAUGACUCAGCAGGGAUGAUUCAGCAGAGAUAACUCGGGGAUGACUCUGAUUGUCCUUCAGCAGGGAUGAGUCUGUUUUGCUCCGAUGGAAGCAUCUGUAGUGUCCAUCAGCAGGUGAAUGGCCAAAGUGGUAUAUACUGUAGUCACAUUCAGCUAUAAAAAGGAAUAAAGUAUCGAUGCAUGCCACAACAUGGGUGAACCUAGAAAAUACUGAUCUAAAUGCAAGAAGCCAGGCACAAAAGGCCACAUAGUAUAUGUUCCCAUUUAUGUGAAAUGUGCAGAAUAAUAAUAAAAAUGUAUAGAAUAGCAAAUCUGUAGGGACAGACAUGAGGUGAGUGGUUGCCAGAAGUGGAAAUGGGAGUUAACUAUAAAUUGCACAGGGUACCUUACAGAGAUGAUGGAAAUGUCCUAAAACUAGAUUAUGGCAAUAGUUGCACUACGUGAUCAGUUUAUUAAAAAUCGUUGAUGUGUGUGUGUAAAAUGGGUGGAUUUUAUGGUUUAUAAAUUAUACCUUAAUAAAGGUUAACAAAAAAUGUGGCU